GGUUAAGCUACUAAGAGCACACGGAGGAUGCCUAGGCGCUAGGAGCCGAUGAAGGACGUGGCGAACAACGAAACUGCCUCGGGGAGCUGUAACGCACGCUUUGAUCCGGGGAUGUCCGAAUG
rnacentral:ncRNA from 1 species